GACGAACGCUGGCGGCGUGCCUAAUACAUGCAAGUCGAGCGAAUCACUGGGAGCUUGCUCCCGGUGGUUAGCGGCGGACGGGUGAGUAACACGUGGGCAACCUGCCUGUAAGACUGGGAUAACACCGGGAAACCGGUGCUAAUACCGGAUAAUCCUUUUCCUCUCAUGAGGAAAAGCUGAAAGUCGGUUUCGGCUGACACUUACAGAUGGGCCCGCGGCGCAUUAGCUAGUUGGUGAGGUAACGGCUCACCAAGGCGACGAUGCGUAGCCGACCUGAGAGGGGGAUCGGCCACACUGGGCCUGGGACACGGCCCAGACUCCUACGGGAGGCAGCAGUAGGGAAUCUUCCACAAUGGACGAAAGUCUGAUGGAGCAACGCCGCGUGAGCGAUGAAGGCCUUCGGGUCGUAAAGCUCUGUUGUUAGGGAAGAACAAGUACCGGAGUAACUGCCGGUACCUUGACGGUACCUAACCAGAAAGCCACGGCUAACUACGUGCCAGCCGCCGCUGUAA
rnacentral:rRNA from 1 species